UACGGAGGGUGCAAGCGUUAUCCGGAUUCACUGGGUUUAAAGGGUGCGUAGGUGGGCAAGUAAGUCAGUGGUGAAAUCUCCGGGCUUAACCCGGAAACUGCCAUUGAUACUAUCUUUCUUGAAUACCGUGGAGGUCAGCGGAAUAUGUCAUGUAGCGGUGAAAUGCUUAGAUAUGACAUAGAACACCAAUUGCGAAGGCAGCUGGCUACACGAAUAUUGACACUGAUGCACGAAAGCGUGGGGAUCAAACAGG
rnacentral:rRNA from 1 species